rnacentral:tRNA from 1 species
GGACGGAUGGCGGAGCGGUCGAACGCGCCGGUUUCGAAAACCGGAGAACCUAGAAUGGUUCCGGGGGUUCAAAUCCCUCUCCGUCCGCCA